CCUACGGGAGGCAGCAGUGGGGAAUAUUGGACAAUGGGGGCAACCCUGAUCCAGCAAUACCGCGUGUGUGAAGAAGGCCUGAGGGUUGUAAAGCACUUUCAAUUGUGAAGAAAAGUUAGCGGUUAAUAACCGUUAGCCUUGACGUUAACUUUAGAAGAAGCACCGGCUAACUCCGUGCCAGCAGCCGCGGUAAUACGGAGGGUGCAAGCGUUAAUCGGAAUUACUGGGCGUAAAGCGUGCGUAGGCGGUUUAUUAAGUCAGAUGUGAAAGCCCCGGGCUUAACCUGGGAACUGCAUUUGAAACUGGUCAACUAGAGUAUGGUAGAGGAAAGUGGAAUUUCUGGUGUAGCGGUGAAAUGCGUAGAUAUCAGAAGGAACAUCAAUGGCGAAGGCAGCUUUCUGGACCAAUACUGACGCUGAGGUACGAAAGCGUGGGUAGCAAACAGGAUUAGAUACCCUGGUAGUCCACGCCGUAAACGAUGAUAACUAGCCGUUGGGGGGAUUUACCCUUUAGUGGCGAAGCUAACGCGUUAAGUUAUCCGCCUGGGGAGUACGGCCGCAAGGUUAAAACUCAAAGGAAUUGACGGA
rnacentral:rRNA from 1 species